UACGUAGGGUGCGAGCGUUAAUCGGAAUUACUGGGCGUAAAGCGUGCGCAGGCGGUUUUGUAAGCCAGAUGUGAAAUCCCCGGGCUUAACCUGGGAAUGGCAUUUGGGACUGCAAGGCUUGAGUGCGGCAGAGGAGACUGGAAUUCCUGGUGUAGCAGUGAAAAUGCGUAGAUAUCAGGAGGAACACCGAUGGCGAAGGCAGGUCUCUGGGCUGACACUGACGCUCAUGCACGAAAGCGUGGGGAGCAAACAGG
rnacentral:rRNA from 1 species